ensembl:lncRNA
CAAACUUCGAGUACCAUUUUGUCGUUUAUUUAAAUUAAAAUCCAUAAACUGAGUAAUGGUAGUAGUAGUAGUAGUAGUAGUAGUGGUAGAAGUAGUAAUAGUAGUAAUAGUGGUGGUAGUAGUAGUAAUAGUAGUAGUUUAUAAUAUUAGACGUAGUAGUGGUAGAAGUAGUAAUAGUAAGUAGUAGUAGUGCAGUAGUAGUAGUAGAGGUAUUAGUAAUAGUAGUAGUAGCUGUGGUAGUAGUAGUAGUAGCAGCAGCAGUAGUAAUAGUAGUGGUAGUAGCAGUAGUAAUAGUAGUGGUAGUCGUAGUAGUGGUAGUAGUAGCAGUAGUAAUAGUUGUAGUAGUAGCAGUAGUAAUAGUAGUGGUAGUAGCAGUAGUAGUGGUAGUAGCGGUAGCAGUAGUAAUAGUAGUGGUAGUAGUAGCAGUAGUAGUGGUAGUAGUAGCAGUAGUAGUGGUAGUAGUAGUAGGAGUAGUAGGAGUAGAAGUGGUGGUAGUAGUAGUAGUGGUAGUAGCGGUAGCAGUAGUAAUAGUAGUGGUAGUAGUAGUAGGAGUAGUAGGAGUAGUGGUGGUGGUAGUAGUAGUAAUAGUAAUGGUAGUAGCGGUAGUAGUAGCAGUAGUAGUGUAGUAGCAGUAGUGAUAGUAAUAGUAGUGGUGGUAGUAGUAGUAGUAGUAGUAGUAGUGUAGUAGCAGUAGUGAUAGUAAUAGUAGUGGUGGUAGUAGUAGUAGUAUAGUAGUAGUAGUGGGAGUAAGAGUAAGACAUAGCUCUAUUAUUAGUUUACUUAUUUGUUUGUUUAUUUGUUGAUUUUUUUGCUGAUUGUUUGUUUGUUUAGUGGUUAAUUUGUUGAUUAGUUGGUUGGUUGAUUAGGGUGUAUGUUUGGUCGAUUGAUUGAUUGAUUGCCUUAUUGUGUUAGACAGACAGAAGGGGAAACUGCUAGUUUCACCCAGGCUAGGGUUAAUACUGUUACCAAAAACAAUAUUUAUAAUCCUG